rnacentral:rRNA from 1 species
AGAGCGAACGCUGGCGGCAGGCUUAACACAUGCAAGUCGAACGGUUGUAGCAAUACAGCAGUGGCAGACGGGUGAGUAACACGUGGGAACCUUCCUAGGGGUACGGAACAACUCAGGGAAACUUGAGCUAAUACCGUAUACGUCCGUAAGGAGAAAGUUUUAACGCCCCUAGACGGGCCCGCGUAGGAUUAGGUAGUUGGUGAGGUAACGGCUCACCAAGCCUACGAUCCUUAGCUGAUCUGAGAGGAUGAUCAGCCACACUGGGACUGAGACACGGCCCAGACUCCUACGGGAGGCAGCAGUGGGGAAUCUUGGACAAUGGGCGCAAGCCUGAUCCAGCCAUGCGCGUGAGUGAAGAAGCCUCGGUUGAAAGCUCUUUACCAGGACGAUAAUGACGGUACCUGGAGAAAGUAAGACCCCCGGCGAAACUUACCGGUGACCCAGACGAGCCCGGC